rnacentral:lncRNA from 1 species
UUGGAGACUUAAACACCAUUUUUCAAGAAUAAAAAAUAAUGAAAAAGUCAUGUAUUUUUCUUUUUACUCUAGCAUGUUUUCCAAACAUGGCGUUAGAGAUGAGUUGGCUAUAAGCUUGGGAAGUGGGACGUGAAGCUGACACCUGGAGAGGAGGAAGCAGUAGGAGGCGAGGGGGAGAGUGGAAAAUUUGAGAAAAUGUUGGAGGAGAGGAAGGUGGCAAGAACUAAGAGACAUCGUAGCCACAGGAAGGCACGUGUCAAUCAUCCCUGCCGUGUAUUAGGCGGCCAUUAAGGCUUUGAUUAUUAAUUUAAUCUUCUCUGUUUACGCAAUUAUGCUUCGCCAGUUUUCUCAAAAAUGCUCCAGCUCAUCACCCCAUUUUCGCCUUAUAUAUAUUUUUUAUAUUAUAAUUAUUAUUUCCCACCUUCAAUUUCUCGCCUAUGUCUUUCACUUCCACCCAAUCAAAUUGCCUAAGUCAAAA